rnacentral:rRNA from 1 species
GGGGAAUCUUGCACAAUGGGCGGAAGCCUGAUGCAGCGACGCCGCGUGCGGGACGAAGGCCUUCGGGUCGUAAACCGCUUUCAGCAGGGACGAGGCCGCGAGGUGACGGUACCUGCAGAAGAAGCCCCGGCUAACUACGUGCCAGCAGCCGCGGUAAUACGUAGGGGGCGAGCGUUAUCCGGAUUCAUUGGGCGUAAAGCGCGCGUAGGCGGCCCGCUUGGUCGGGAGUAAAAUCCGGGGGCUCAACCCCCGCACGCUCCCGAUACCGGCGGGCUUGAGUCUGGCAGGGGAAGGCGGAAUUCCGAGUGUAGCGGUGGAAUGCGCAGAUAUUCGGAAGAACACCGGUGGCGAAGGCGGCCUUCUGGGCCACGACUGACGCUGAGGCGCGAAAGCUAGGGGAGCGAAC